rnacentral:tRNA from 1 species
ACAUGCUAAUUUGAUUUCGACUCAAAAUUUUAAUUAGUCUUUAAUUCAUGUA